rnacentral:rRNA from 1 species
GAUCAUGGCUCAGGACGAACGCUGGCGGCGUGCUUAACACAUGCAAGUCGAACGGGAGUAUUGAAGAAGCUUGCUUUAGAGAUACUUUAGUGGCGGACGGGUGAGUAACGCGUGAGGAGCUGUCCUAUGCAGGGGGACAACAGCUGGAAACGGCUGCUAAUACCCCAUAAGCCGAGAGGUAAAAGGAUCAAUCCGGCAGAGGAGGUACUCGCGUCCUAUCAGCUAGUAGGUGAGGUAACGGCUCACCUAGGCGAAGACGGGUAGCCGGCCUGAGAGGGCGAACGGCCACACUGGAACUGAGAUACGGUCCAGACUCCUACGGGAGGCAGCAGUGGGGAAUAUUGGGCAAUGGGGGGAAAAACCCCCUGACCCAGCGACGCCGCGUGGGUGAAGAAAUCCUUCGGGAUGUAAAGCCCUGUUGUAUGGGAAGAGCGGAAGACGGUACCAUACGAGGAAGCCCCGGCAAACUACGUGCCAGCCGCAGC